GAUGAACGCUAGCGGCAGGCUUAAUACAUGCAAGUCGUGGGGCAGCAGGUCUGUAGCAAUACAGAUGCUGGCGACCGGCAAACGGGUGCGUAACACGUACGCAACCUUCCCGUUACUGGGGAAUAGCCCAGGGAAACUUGGAUUAAUACCCCAUAUUAUAUUUGUUAGGCAUCUGACUGAUAUCAAAGCUUCGGCGGUAACGGAUGGGCGUGCGGUUGAUUAGGUAGUUGGCGGGGUAACGGCCCACCAAGCCUACGAUCAAUAGCUGAUGUGAGAGCAUGAUCAGCCAAACGGGCACUGAGACACGGGCCCGACUCCUACGGGAGGCAGCAGUAAGGAAUAUUGGGCAAUGGACGAAAGUCUGACCCAGCCAUGCCGCGUGAAGGAUGAAGGUCCUCUGGAUUGUAAACUUCUUUUAUCUGGAGCGAAAAUCGGUUAUUCUUAGCCGCUUGACAGUACCAGAUGAAUAAGCACCGGCUAACUCCGUGCCAGCCGCCGCCGUAAUAC
rnacentral:rRNA from 1 species